UUUGGCCCAGGUCGUCAUGGAGGAGUGCAGGGAGGCCAAGAUUCGCAGACAAAACAGACAAGUGGCGAUCACUGCUGGGGUUACCAUAGGCCUGAUUGUUGCAGUCAUAUGGUUCGUCGUUACGAGAUAAAAGAAUAGACACCAUACCAUCCACGGAAAUGGGUCAACACAAAGCAGCAGAUUGUGGUGCCAAAUAAACAUGACGAAUAA